GUGCCAGCCGCAGCGGUAAUACGAAGGGGCUAGCGUUGCUCGGAAUGACUGGGCGUAAAGGGCGUGUAGGCGGCAUGUACAGUCAGAAGUGAAAUUCCUGGGCUCAACCUGGGGACUGCUUUUGAUACGUGCAAGCUUGAGUGAGGAAGAGGGUUGUGGAAUUUCCAGUGUAGAGGUGAAAUUCGUAGAUAUUGGAAAGAACACCGGUGGCGAAGGCGGCAACCUGGUCCUUUACUGACGCUGAGGCGCGAAAGCGUGGGAGCAAACAGGAUUAGAUACCCUGGUAGUCCACGCUGUAACGAUGUGUGCUGGAUGUUGGGGAACUUAGUUUUUCAGUGUCGUAGCUAACGCGAUAAGCACACCGCCUGGGAGUACGGCCGCAAGGUUGAAACUCAAAGGAUUGACGGGGCCGCGACGAAGCGGUGGAGCGA
rnacentral:rRNA from 1 species